CGUAGGGUGCGAGCGUUAAUCGGAAUUACUGGGCGUAAAGUGUGCGCAGGCGGCUCCGCAAGUCGAGUGUGAAAUCCCCGAGCUUAACUUGGGAAUUGCGCUCGAAACUACGGAACUGGAGUGUGGCAGAGGAAGGUGGAAUUCCACGUGUAGCGGUGAAAUACGUAGAGAUGUGGAGGAACACCGAUGGCGAAGGCAGCCUUCUGGGCCAACACUGACGCUCAUGCACGAAAGCGUGGGGAGCAAACAGGAUUAGAUACCCUGGUAGUCCACGCCCUAAACGAUGAUGACUAGUUGUUGGAGGAGUUAAAUCCUUUAGUAACGCAGCUAACGCGUGAAGUCAUCCGCCUGGGGAGUACGGUCGCAAGAUUA
rnacentral:rRNA from 1 species